UAGGGAAUCUUCCGCAAUGGACGCAAGUCUGACGGAGCAACGCCGCGUGAGUGAAGAAGGAUUUCGGUUCGUAAAACUCUGUUGUUAGAGAAGAACAGCGCAUAGAGUAACUGUUAUGCGUGUGACGGUAUCUAACCAGAAAGCCACGGCUAACUACGUGCCAGCAGCCGAGGUAAUACGUAGGUGGCAAGCGUUGUCCGGAUUUAUUGGGCGUAAAGCGAGCGCAGGCGGUCAAUUAAGUCUGAUGUGAAAGCCCCCGGCUCAACCGGGGAGGGUCAUUGGAAACUGGUUGACUUGAGUGCAGAAGAGGAGAGUGGAAUUCCAUGUGUAGCGGUGAAAUGCGCAGAUAUUAGGAGGAAUACCGGUGGCGAAGGCGACUUUCUGGCCAUAAUCUGACGCUGAGGUACGAAAGCGUGGGUAGCAGACAGG
rnacentral:rRNA from 1 species